rnacentral:rRNA from 1 species
GACGAACGCUGGCGGCGUGCUUAACACAUGCAAGUCGUACGGUAAGGCCCUUUCGGGGGUACACGAGUGGCGAACGGGUGAGUAACACGUGAGUAACCUGCCCACAACUUUGGGAUAACGCUAGGAAACUGGUGCUAAUACUGGAUAUGUGCUCCUGCUGCAUGGUGGGGGUUGGAAAGCUCCGGCGGUUGUGGAUGGACUCGCGGCCUAUCAGCUUGUUGGUGGGGUAGUGGCCUACCAAGGCGGCGACGGGUAGCCGGCCUGAGAGGGUGACCGGCCACAUUGGGACUGAGAGACGGCCCAGAGUCCGACGGGAGGCAGCAGGGGGGAAUAUUGGACAAUGGGCGCAAGCCUGAUGCAGCAACGCCGCGUGCGGGAUGAAGGCCUUCGGGUUGUAAACCGCUUUCAGCAGGGACGAAGCUUUUUGUGACGGUACCUGCAGAAGAAGCACCGGCUAACUACGUG